ACGCUGCUGGAACACUUUGACCCAAUUCAUCUCAAUUCAAUUGAAGCAUUUAAAGACCAGCCAUAAAAGGCAGUUGAAAUGGGUUUUUUUCGAGAGAGUUUCGGAUGGUAGUCGGUUCAGGGAAGACCAUAAAAAAUAAUUAAGAAGUUUGUACUGAAAGUUCUAACAUUGCUCUUUGUCGAGUUGGUUGGCCAUGUAUGACAGGUACUUUAAUGGUUUUUAGUAAAACCAAGUUAAAAUCAAUGGCCUUAUUUGACCAAAAUAAUAAUUUCAAAACUAUAUCCCAAUAUAAAAGUGCUAGCAAGUGUUUUUCUUCAAAUGAUCAAGCUUAGGGUAUUCCCGUUUCGACUCUCCAAUCUGCUUAACUUUUUGGCUCUCCUCUGAUUUCCAUUAUAUGGACCCUGGUUAUUUAAUCAAUGGGGGCUCAGUUGCGCGUACUCCACAUAAAAGGGAAGACACUCCAGCGAGCGAUCAACUCAAAGCCCAGCUUCUCGGCCUGCGCAUUGGGCAGGCGACUCCAAAGAGCCCAAGCCACGGCCACUGGCACUGGCCUGGCACUGGAACGAGACAAAAUGUCAAUGGGAGCGUCUUGUUCCUGGCCUGGCGUCUCACCAGACAACAUGCAAAUAGCAAAUAGCGUAUAGCGCAUAGCUAGAUGCCAAGUUGAAGUCGAGGAGGAAUCCGCAGCCCAAGGGGCCCAUGUGGCUAUGCAAUUUAGUCAAAGGCCCUAACGGCAUUUGAGCCAAAUGCGUUUACGUUUACGCAUCCGCUAUAAACUCGUAUGCCGGGUUGUUGCUGCCCCAGCCACUGCCGAUUCUCCAAGCGGGGAUCUGGGAGCAGGAAUGGCAGUUUAACCAUUUUAUGGAUAUGGCUGGAAAUUCAGAAAGGGGAUUGAUUAAAGGAACAUGGUUGGAAAGUCACCACAACCGAAUAUUGGAUCCUAAACUGAAUUUUUGAACUUUAUCUCUUACUUAUUCAAAAGUUACAAAUCAAGUAAGUAUAAUAACCAAUUAACUCUCGUCUUAUUUGCUUUCCUUUGUUCCAGUGAUCGAAACAGUGAAAUGGAGGCGGUUUUGGCUUUAAUAUCCCUCAGCACUGAGGAAGAGGUGUUGGCAGCGAACCCAGAACCAGUUGGCAGCGUUAUACUUAGGCUUUAAGCAGGAGCAUGCGACAAAACUGUGCUCUGGGCCGGCUGCUCGGUGGCUGGGUCUGGGUCUGGGGAUCCACUUCCUUCGGAGCUGGGAACUGUUAAUUGGACCCAGCCAGCCCGUCCGCUUCCAGGGGCGUCGGAGUUUGGCAGUGCGUGGCGCACUUAAACGAGGUUAACUGUACUGCAGCAAAGGCAUCGCUCGUCUCUGGGCCGCGGCGCGAAUGUAAUUUCAACUUACGUCAACGCCAGCGCUCCAGGGCCACAGAUCCGAUGGGAGAUCCCAGAUCCGAGCGGUCAAUGCACGCAUUACCUACCAGUUACCAGUUGCCAGAUGCCCAGUUUCCAGCUCCCCACCGCCAGCUUAUCGGGCGGGAAUCGCGCAGCCCCGGCACUUUAGCUCCCAGCUCCCAAACCCCCUCUGCUGCCGCCUGCUCAAAAAAUCCCAUCAAAUCAGCAACGUGAUGCCGCCCUUGGGGCUCUGGGCCUGCACUCUCUCUAUAAAGCGGUCAUAACAUUUGCACCACAAUAAUAGCUGUAAUGCCAACCCAACGCCGCCUAGCCCCCAUUCAUUCAAGGAUAAUGUUACGGUUAAUGGCGCGUCCGCCGAGUAAUUUAAUUUACUCGUACACUCGCCACAUGCCCCCAACAAACGAACAAGGCGAAUUAUUAUGGCCGAAAAUCGCGACUAGACGGCCGCGCAGACGGUGGCCACAUGGAGCCCCAGAUGGGGCCGCAGAUGCAGAUACAGAUGGAGAUGGAGCUGAAGUUGGAGCUGGAGCUGGAGAUACCUCAUAUCGCGCCCAUCGGCGAUCGUCAGUCGCCCAGACUUUGGAGAUGAGACAGUGAGGACUGGCAGUCGGCCAAGUUGGCCCGAGCAAAUUGCCGGCAUCUAUUGCUAUAAUUUCCCAGAAACUUUGUAGCGAUGGAAAAUCUAGGCGGAAAUUCGGGAAUUUGGCGAGUUAAUGCGAUCAAAGAUAUAAACACUGAUUGAUAUUGAGUUACAUUUCCGAGGCGUAAUGAAGGGUUAUAUCUUCCCGGACUAUGACUUCGUUGAAAAAUGAAUUCCGAUUGGAAAAUAAAACAUUGUUUGAGAAGAUUCCAUAAUGGUCUAAAAUAUAAACUUUAUUAGUUGGUAUCAAAACGUAUCCUCAGAUCAAAUUUGAUUUUAUAAGGUCGUUCUUCUAUGGUAAAUAUAUGAUAAUUAAUAUUACAGAAAUUAAGAGCUUAAGAUCGACUUUUAUUCAAUUUAGUUAACACAGUUCCGAUCUAAACGUAUCUGCAUUAAACUAGGAAUGUGCAAUGGUUUUUAAUUUAAUCAAAAUCGAACAAGUAUAUCACAUGCUAAAUACAGUAGGAAAUGAAUAGAAAACUAAUAAAUAAGAAUGUUGUUUUUGAUCAUACUAUUUAAAAAAAAAAUAAAAAAGCUUAUCCAAAAAGCUUAU